rnacentral:rRNA from 1 species
CGUGUACAAGUCUCCUGGAACGGAGCGUCAUAGAGGGUGAGAAUCCCGUCCAUGACACGGACUGCUAAUACUUUGUGAUACGCUCUCGAAGAGUCGAGUUGUUUGGGAAUGCAGCUCAAAUGGGUGGUAAAUUCCAUCUAAAGCUAAAUACAGGCGAGAGACCGAUAGCGAACAAGUACCGUGAGGGAAAGAUGAAAAGCACUUUGGAAAGAGAGUUAAACAGUACGUGAAAUUGUUGAAAGGGAAACGCUUGAAGUCAGUCGCGUUGUGCAGAACUCAGCCUUGCCUCGGUUUGGUGUACUUUCUGCACAACGGGUCAACAUCAAUUUUGGCCCAUGGAGAAAGGUGGNGGGAAUGUAGCGCUGUUUCGGCAGCGUGUUAUAGCCCUCUACUGUAUACAUGGGCUGGGAUUGAGGAACGCAGCACGCCCUUGUGGCCGGGGGUUCGCCCCACGUACCGUGCUUAGGAUGUUGGCAGAAUGGCUUUAAGCGACCCGUCUUGAAACACGGACCAAGGAGUCUAACAUGCUUGCGAGUGUUCGGGUGGAAAACCCUUGUGCGUAAUGAAAGUGAAAGUUGGGAACCUCCGCAAGGGGGUGCACCGA